GACGAACGCUGGCGGCGUGCUUAACACAUGCAAGUCGAACGGAAAGGCCCUGCUUUUGUGGGGUGCUCAAGUGGCGAACGGGUGAGUAACACGUGAGUAACCUGCCCUUGACUUUGGGAUAACUUCAGGAAACUGGGGCUAAUACCGGAUAGGAGCUCCUGCUGCAUGGUGGGGGUUGGAAAGUUUCGGCGGUUGGGGAUGGACUCGCGGCUUAUCAGCUUGUUGGUGGGGUAGUGGCUUACCAAGGCUUUGACGGGUAGCCGGCCUGAGAGGGUGACCGGCCACAUUGGGACUGAGAUACGGCCCAGACUCCUACGGGAGGCAGCAGUGGGGAAUAUUGCACAAUGGGCGGAAGCCUGAUGCAGCAACGCCGCGUGCGGGAUGACGGCCUUCGGGUUGUAAACCGCUGUCGCCUGUGACGAAGCGGGAGUGACGGUAAUGGGUAAAGAAGCACCGGCUAACUACGUG
rnacentral:rRNA from 1 species